AUGAACGCUAGCUACAGGCUUAACACAUGCAAGUCGAGGGGCAGCAUGGUCUUAGCUUGCUAAGGCCGAUGGCGACCGGCGCACGGGUGAGUAACACGUAUCCAACCUGCCGUCUACUCUUGGACAGCCUUCUGAAAGGAAGAUUAAUACAAGAUGGCAUCAUGAGUCCGCAUGUUCACAUGAUUAAAGGUAUUCCGGUAGACGAUGGGGAUGCGUUCCAUUAGAUAGUAGGCGGGGUAACGGCCCACCUAGUCUUCGAUGGAUAGGGGUUCUGAGAGGAAGGUCCCCCACAUUGGAACUGAGACACGGUCCAAACUCCUACGGGAGGCAGCAGUGAGGAAUAUUGGUCAAUGGGCGAGAGCCUGAACCAGCCAAGUAGCGUGAAGGAUGACUGCCCUAUGGGUUGUAAACUUCUUUUAUAAAGGAAUAAAGUCGGGUAUGCAUACCCGUUUGCAUGUACUUUAUGAAUAAGGAUCGGCUAACUCCGUGCCAGCAGCCGCGGUAAUACGGAGGAUCCGAGCGUUAUCCGGAUUUAUUGGGUUUAAAGGGAGCGUAGAUGGAUGUUUAAGUCAGUUGUGAAAGUUUGCGGCUCAACCGUAAAAUUGCAGUUGAUACUGGAUAUCUUGAGUGCAGUUGAGGCAGGCGGAAUUCGUGGUGUAGCGGUGAAAUGCUUAGAUAUCACGAAGAACUCCGAUUGCGAAGGCAGCCUGCUAAGCUGCAACUGACAUUGAGGCUCGAAAGUGUGGGUAUCAAACAGGAUUAGAUACCCUGGUAGUCCACACGGUAAACGAUGAAUACUCGCUGUUUGCGAUAUACGGCAAGCGGCCAAGCGAAAGCGUUAAGUAUUCCACCUGGGGAGUACGCCGGCAACGGUGAAACUCAAAGGAAUUGACGGGGGCCCGCACAAGCGGAGGAACAUGUGGUUUAAUUCGAUGAUACGCGAGGAACCUUACCCGGGCUUAAAUUGCAGAUGAAUUACGGUGAAAGCCGUAAGCCGCAAGGCAUCUGUGAAGGUGCUGCAUGGUUGUCGUCAGCUCGUGCCGUGAGGUGUCGGCUUAAGUGCCAUAACGAGCGCAACCCUUGUUGUCAGUUACUAACAGGUUCCGCUGAGGACUCUGACAAGACUGCCAUCGUAAGAUGUGAGGAAGGUGGGGAUGACGUCAAAUCAGCACGGCCCUUACGUCCGGGGCUACACACGUGUUACAAUGGGGGGUACAGAGGGCCGCUACCACGCGAGUGGAUGCCAAUCCCCAAAACCUCUCUCAGUUCGGACUGGAGUCUGCAACCCGACUCCACGAAGCUGGAUUCGCUAGUAAUCGCGCAUCAGCCACGGCGCGGUGAAUACGUUCCCGGGCCUUGUACACACCGCCCGUCAAGCCAUGGGAGCCGGGGGUGCCUGAAGUGCGUAACCGCGAGGAGCGCCCUAGGGUAAAACUGGUGACUGGGGCU
rnacentral:rRNA from 1 species